rnacentral:lncRNA from 1 species
UGUAGUUCGGAGAGGUAGGACUGUAUGGACUAGAUGGUGACAAUCUUGGACUGCUUGGAGAGUAAGCUGAUGACGGACUGUACUUGGCAGACUGAGGAUUAUAGCUUGGAGAUGUAGGGCUGUAACUGGGCGAGGUUGGACUAUAACUAGGCGAGGUUGGGCUGUAACCAGGAGAAGUUGGGCUGUAGGCUGGCGAGGUAGGGCUGUAGGAUGGAGAUGUUGGACUGUAGGAAGGAGAAGUUGGGCUGUAGGAAGGCGAAGUUGGGCUGUAGGAUGGCGAAGUUGGGCUGUAGGAAGGAGACGUGGGACUGUAAGAUGGCGAAGUGGGGCUAUAUGCGGGGGAAGUGGGGCUGUAAGCAGGUGAAGUGGGGCUGUAAGCAGGGGAAGUAGGGCUGUAGCUUGGUGAAGUGGGGCUGUAGCUUGGAGAGGUGGGGCUGUAGCUGGGAGAGGUUGGCGAGUAUGAUGGACUCGUAGGAGAGUAAGCUGGACUGGUGGGACUAUAGCCGGAGAACUAGGACUAUAUGUCGGAGAGGUGGGACUGUACCCAGGAGAAGUGGGGCUAUACCCUGGAGAGGUGGGACUGUAGCCAGGAGAAGUGGGGCUGUAUCCAGGGGAGGAAGGGCUGUAUCCAGGGGAUGAUGGGCUGUAGCCUGGAGAGGAAGUAGGAGAGAAUGCCAUUCCUCCAACAUAAGGAGAAAACUGAGCAUCCGAAAUUGGUGACAGCCGAAGAUUUGGGCUCAGCAAAU